rnacentral:rRNA from 1 species
AGAGUUUGAUCAUGGCUCAGGGCGAACUGUGGCGGCGGGCUUCAUACAUGCAAGUCGAACGAGAACGUGUCCUACGGGGCGCUAGUACAGUGGCGCACGGGUGAGUAACGCGUAGGCAACCUGCCCUCGAGUGGGGAAUAACCUUCGGAAACGAUGGCUAAUACCGCAUGAAGUUCUACACCGCAUGGUGCAGCAUGAAAGUUUUUAACGCUCGGGGAUGGGCCUGCGUCGGAUUAAUUAGUAGGUAAGGUAACGGCUUACCUAUACAACGAUCCGUAGCUGGUCUGAGAGGACGAUCAGUCACACUGGCACUGAGACACGGGCCAUACUUCUACGGAAGGCAUCAAUAUGGAAUCUUGGGCAAUGGGCGCAAGCCUGACCCAGCCACGCCGCGUGGAGGAUGACACCCUUAUGGGGCGUAAACUCCUUUUAUACAGAAAGAAAGCUUUCCUCGGGAAAGCCUGACGGUACCGUAUGAAUAAGCACCGUCUAACUCCGUGCCCCAGCCGCGGUAAUACGGAGGGUGCAAGCGUUGUCCGGAUUCACUGGGCGUAAAG